rnacentral:SRP_RNA from 18 species
GAACCUCCCCAGGGCCGGAAGGCAGCAAGGAUAAGCGGGCUCUGGCGGGUGCACGGGGGGCCUU